UACAGAGGUCUCAAGCGUUAAUCGGAAUCACUGGGCGUAAAGGGUGCGUAGGCGGGUCUUUAAGUCAGGGGUGAAAUCCUGGAGCUCAACUCCAGAACUGCCUUUGAUACUGAAGAUCUUGAGUUCGGGAGAGGUGAGUGGAACUGCGAGUGUAGAGGUGAAAUUCGUAGAUAUUCGCAAGAACACCAGUGGCGAAGGCGGCUCACUGGCCCGAUACUGACGCUGAGGCACGAAAGCGUGGGGAGCAAACAGG
rnacentral:rRNA from 1 species